GAUGAACGCUGGCGGUAUGCUUAACACAUGCAAGUCGAACGGUACUUCCGGGUAUAGUGGCGCAGGGGUGAGUAACGCGUGAGAAUCUCCCUCCCGGUCGGGGACAACAGUUAGAAAUGAAUGCUAAUACCGGAUGUGCCGAAAGGUAAAAGAUUUAUUGGCUGAAAAAGAGCUCGCGUCAGAUUAGCUAGUGGGUGGUGUAAGAGACUACCUAGGCUUCGAUCUGUAGCUGGUCUGAGAGGACGAUCAGCCACACUGGAACUGAGACACGGUCCAGACUCCUACGGGAGGCAGCAGUGGGGAAUUUUCAGCAAUGGGGGAAAGCCUGACGGAGCAAUGCCGCGUGAGUGACGAAGGCUGUUGGGUCGUAAACCUCUUUUAGCAAGGAAGAUUCUGACGGUACCAGAAGAAGAAGCACCGGCUAACUCCGUG
rnacentral:rRNA from 1 species